CAAUAGUGUAUAUUAAAGUUGUUGCAGUUAAAAAGCUCGUAGUUGGAUUUCAAGAAACGCAUCUGGGAAACCAGUUUGCUUUCUACCAGUCUUUGACUGUUACUGUGAGAAAAUUAGAGUGUUUCAAGCAGGCAAUUGCAGGAAUACAUUAGCAUGGAAUAACGAAUGUGUCUACAAUUUGGUUGAUUGUAGAUUACGAUUAAUAGGGACAGUUGGGGGCAUUAGUAUUUAAUUGUCAGAGGUGAAAUUCUUGGAUUAGUUAAAGACUAACGUAUGCGAAAGCAUUUGCCAAGGAUGUUUUCAUUAA
rnacentral:rRNA from 1 species